UGAGUUUUUUUGCCUAAACCGUCUCACCUCUCUGCUCCCCUCUCUGGUCUUUUGCCAAAUCGGUUAAUUGAGUAGAAGCCACUCUCCAGUGUUAACCGAGUAGAAGCCACUGUCCAAAAGCAAUUUGGCCGACGUUGAUUGGCUAACAAUCCAAGGGAUGAACAUGGAUGAUCUCUAGAAAUAAAUGCAAGUCAUUCGUGCUUUCAUUCAACUAGCAGAAGUCCCAGCAGUCUCCUUUAUUUCCACAGAAACUGUUGAUUCUUGGUCACUCUUCUUUUCUUGGCACUUCAAAUUCCUACUAAUUGAAUAAUCUUGCGUCUCAAGGUAAUAAGAGAAAGUCUCAAGGUAAAGUUGAUUAUGCUUCCUUCCUCUCUCUUUGAAAUUCUAUCUUUUUUUUUUUAAUUUUAAUUUAUUUUAGCCCAUAGUUGAGCUAUUUAAUUAAGGUAAUCUUUUUUUUUCCUAGUUUUGCCACUUUUUUAUGAUAUGAUUCUGAAACAUGGAGUGAGUUUGUCCAAUUCAGUAAUCCGCCUACAUUAGUGGAGCAAUUAUGCAAUUUAGAGAGACAGAGUAAAACUAGAACCCUGAUAAUAUUAUAUUCCUUUCUGGCAGAUAGCCUGUUACAUCCUUUGUUGUUCACAAAUCCUUACAGAAGAAGAUAUGAGAAAGAUGGAAAUAGAAAUAAGCUUGAUAGAAAGAAACUAGCUAGUACUAUCCUAUUUAACUGAAACGAAGCUACUACUACUGUUUGCUAUUGUUUUACACGCGAAAAAAGGGCAAGGGGGAGACCAUGUGGGGUUAUGAUGUAACAGUCAGUUCUGCAGGUACAGAUUUGUUUUCAGCCUUUCCAUGACUAUAACAAACCUUUCGAACUGUUUGAUUAAGGCUCGUUUAAGUAUAAUUGAGCAGUUAGCUAAAAACAAAUCAGUUUUAAAAUUGAAAUCUAUUACAAAUUUGUUUUUUGAUUUACUUUAGUUACGAAGCAAUUUAAACAGUCCUUAAUUCUAUUUUUGAUUUCCAGUAGUGAAUUAAAAAAAAAAUCUCUCUUUGGCUUAGAUCACUUGAAGAUUGUUAAAAACAAAAACAAGUAAAAAUUUUAAUAUAAUUUUGAGUUGCAUUAUUUCUUGUCAACUGCUAACAAAAUCCUUAUGUGAUGCACUAACCUUAGAUUCUAUCAAAGCAUAUAUAUAUAUAUAUAUAUAUAUAUAUAUAUUGAAUGAACCUUGAUCCUUUUUACAUGCAUGUCUAAGAAAUACGAAUAUUUCAAUAGACCCAUUCUGGUGUUGUGUCCAAUUUUUGUUAAUUGACUAGAAUGUGAGUAUUGUGUACUUUAUUAUGAUGUAUCCUAUGGUCUUGUUUUAUUUUGAUCUUAUUAUAUCUAUUGUCAUUUAAUAUUUGUUAUUAAUUAUUUAUUAUAGCUUCAAGUGACACAAACUUACAAUAAAUACAAUCACCCUCGAUAUAAAAAUUGGAUUGAGAGAUUCAAGACAUGCAUUUGAUCACGUACUAUUUCGUAUUCCUAAUACUCUUUGUUUUUUAGACUAUUAUUUCUAUAUGAUUUUAGAAUUGACUAUAAUGAACGAUAAAUUUAAAAUAAAUGCAAAUAUUUGGAUGAUACUUUAUAAUUUCUUUUUAUUUAUACAAAAUUUUGCAAGAACAAUAUUAUUUAUAUUAGAGUAUUCUAGAAAGAUGAUAGUUGGGAGUUGUGACGUUCAAUAUUUUGUCACCAUUAUAAAAGAAAUUCUUUUCAACAUUAAAAUGGUUAAUUUGUUACUUAAAAAUAUUUUCCAUGACGAUUGUAUUAUCGUCAUAUUCAACCAAUGAUAUUUAUUUCAGUGACGAAAAUAAAUUUAUAAUUGAUGACAAAUUUAAUUGAAAUAAAUUUAACAUAUUGUCACCUAAAUUAAACAUUUCACAUAUAUUUAGUGACAUUAUGGAAUUUUUUAUGAUGUUAUCUUACAAUUAUAGGUGACGUUAAUUGUGUCAUUAAUACUGUGAUGAUUUACCUUUUGUUACUAAUAUAUAAAAUUUUAUCAUUUAUUUUGUGACGAUUAUAGUAUUGCUAAUAUAUCAUAUUUUAUUAGUUAUUUUGUUGAUUAUAGAAUUUAAUGAUGUUUUUUCAUAUAGAUGAUGAAACCGAACGUUAAAAAAAAUAAAACAUAAGGUGACAUUUGAUUUUAAUGUCACGUUUGACGUUAUCUUAUAAUCAUAAAUGACAUUAAUUAUGUUACCAAUACUAUAACGAUUUACAUUUCAUCAAUAAUAUAUAGAUUUUAUCAUUUAUUUUAUGACGAUUAUAGCAUUUAAUGGCAUUUUUUUCACAUAUAGCUGACAAAACUUAAUGUCACAAAAAAAGAAAGCAUAAGAUGACAUUUAAUAUUAGUCACCUUAGAUUCACAAUAGAUAACGAUAUUUUAGUAUAGUAACAUUAAACCUUUAGCGAUGGUACAAAUGUGAUGAACGUUAUGAUGUUUAAUUUUUUGUCACAGAAUAUAUACGGUGACGAAAAACAAAUAUUUAGUGACAUUAUUAUAUGCAUCACUAAUAGCCAAAUUUGUUAUAAUGAUAUUUUGCUUCACAAACCAAAGAUUAAUAAAU